CUACGAAGGGGGCUAGCGUUGUUCGGAAUUACUGGGCGUAAAGCGCGUGUAGGCGGAUCGUUAAGUCAGGGGUGAAAGCCCGGGGCUCAACCCCGGAACUGCCCUUGAUACUGGCGAUCUAGAGUCCGGAAGAGGUGGGCGGAAUUCCCGGUGUAGAGGUGAAAUUCGUAGAUAUCGGGAGGAACACCAGUGGCGAAGGCGGCUCACUGGUCCGGUACUGACGCUGAGACGCGAAAGCGUGGGGAGCAAACAGGAUUAGAAACCCCGGUAGUCC
rnacentral:rRNA from 1 species